rnacentral:rRNA from 1 species
GACGAACGCUGGCGGCGUGCUUAACACAUGCAAGUCGAACGCUGAAGCCCUGGCUUUUGUUGGGUUGGAUGAGUGGCGAACGGGUGAGUAACACGUGAGUAACCUGCCCUCUUUUUUGGGAUAACGCCCGGAAACGGGUGCUACUACUGGAUCUUCCCUGAUCUUCGCAUGGGGGUUGGUGGUAAGGUUUGUUCUGGUGGGGGAAGGGCUCGCGGCCUAUCGGCUUGUUGGUGGGGUGAUGGCCUACCAAGGCUUUGUCGGGUAGCCGGCCGGGAAGGGUGACCAGUGACAUGGGAAAUGGGAAACGGCCCUGAAGCAGACGGGAGGCAGCAGUGGGGAAUAUUGCACAAAAGGCGAAAGCAGGAUGCAGCGGCGCGGCGUGAAGGAUGGAGGCCUUCGGUGUGUAAACGUCUUGCGCGAAUAGUCAAACCGCAACUGGGAGUUGUUGUGAGGGUAGUGGGUAAAGAAGCGCCGGCUAACUACGUG